rnacentral:rRNA from 1 species
UACGAAGGUGGCUAGCGUUGCUCGGAUUUACUGGGCGUAAAGGGCGCGUAGGCGGCCAUUUAAGUCAGGGGUGAAAUCCCGGGGCUCAACCUCGGAACUGCCUUUGAUACUGGGUGUCUUGAGUAUGAGAGAGGUGUGUGGAACUCCGAGUGUAGAGGUGAAAUUCGUAGAUAUUCGGAAGAACACCAGUGGCGAAGGCGACACACUGGCUCAUUACUGACGCUGAGGCGCGAAAGCGUGGGGAGCAAACAGG